GCUGGGUGUGGUGGCGCACACCUGUAAUCCCAGCAGCCCAGGAGGCUGAGGCAGGAGAAUUGUGAGUUCAAAGUCAGCCUCAG
rnacentral:sRNA from 1 species